rnacentral:tRNA from 1 species
CGGAUGUGCUGGAAUUUGGUAGACAGGUUCUGUUUAGGCCAGAAUGGUGAAAACUGUGUAAGUUCAAAUCUUAUUGUCCGU